rnacentral:rRNA from 1 species
AGACGGAGGGUCCUAGCGUUGUUCGGAAUAACUGGGCGUAAAGGGUACGUAGGCGGUUUGGUCAGUUAGAUGUGAAAGCCCAGGGCUCAACCUUGGAACUGCAUUUAAUACUGCCAGACUUGAGAUCGGAAGAGGAAAGCGGAAUUCCUAGUGUAGAGGUGAAAUUCGUAGAUAUUAGGAGGAACAUCAGAGGCGAAGGCGGCUUUCUGGUCCGAUACUGACGGUGAGGGGCGAAAGCCGGGGGAGCAAACCGGAUUAGAUACCCGAGUAGUCC